rnacentral:rRNA from 1 species
AGUGAACGCUGGCGGUAGGCCUAACACAUGCAAGUCGAACGGCAGCACAGUAAGAGCUUGCUCUUACGGGUGGCGAGUGGCGGACGGGUGAGGAAUAAAUCGGAAUCUACUUUUUCGUGGGGGAUAACGUAGGGAAACUUACGCUAAUACAGCAUACGACCUACGGGUGAAAGCAGGGGAUCUUCGGACCUUGCGCGAUUGAAUGAGCCGAUGUCGGAUUAGCUAGUUGGCGGGGUAAAGGCCCACCAAGGCGACGAUCCGUAGCUGGUCUGAGAGGAUGAUCAGCCACACUGGAACUGAGACACGGUCCAGACUCCUACGGGAGGCAGCAGUGGGGAAUAUUGGACAAUGGGCGCAAGCCUGAUCCAGCCAUACCGCGUGGGUGAAGAAGGCCUUCGGGUUGUAAAGCCCUUUUGUUGGGACAGAAAAGCAGCAGGUUAAUACCCCGCUGUUCUGACGGUACCCAAAGAAUAAGCACCGGCUAACUUCGUG